rfam:Lepisosteus oculatus linkage group LG23, whole genome shotgun sequence.
GCCAGCAUCUAUAUCACCCUGCAGCUCUCAACUGGCUACCCAGGGAUGCUAAGCAGGGUUGAGCCUGGUCAGUACCUGUAUGGGAGACCUCCUGGGAAGCUAUGGUUGCUGCUGGAA